GAUGAACGCUGGCGGCGUGCCUAAUACAUGCAAGUCGAGCGAACGAACGAGAAGCUUGCUUCUCUGAUGUUAGCGGCGGACGGGUGAGUAACACGUGGAUAACCUACCUAUAAGACUGGGAUAACUUCGGGAAACCGGAGCUAAUACCGGAUAAUAUUUUGAACCGCAUGGUUCAAAAGUGAAAGACGGUCUUGCUGUCACUUAUAGAUGGAUCCGCGCUGCAUUAGCUAGUUGAUAAGGUAACGGCUUACCAAGGCAACGAUGCAUAGCCGACCUGAGAGGGUGAUCGGCCACACUGGAACUGAGACACGGUCCAGACUCCUACGGGAGGCAGCAGUAGGGAAUCUUCCGCAAUGGGCGAAAGCCUGACGGAGCAACGCCGCGUGAGUGAUGAAGGUCUUCGGAUCGUAAAACUCUGUUAUUAGGGAAGAACAUAUGUGUAAGUAACUGUGCACAUCUUGACGGUACCUAAUCAGAAAGCCACGGCUAACUACGUG
rnacentral:rRNA from 1 species